CCUACGGGAGGCAGCAGUGGGGGAUAUUGCACAAUGGGGGGAACCCUGAUGCAGCGACGCCGCGUGGGUGAAGAAGCGCCUCGGCGCGUAAAGCCCUGGCAGCAGGGAAGAAAAUGACGGUACCUGAAGAAGAAGCCCCGGCUAACUACGUGACAGCAGCCGCGGGAAUACGUAGGGGGCAAGCGGUAUCCGGAUGUACUGGGUGUAAAGGGGGCGCAGACGGCGAUGCAAGCCAGGAGUGAAAGCCCGGGGCCCAACCCCGGGACUGCUCUUGGAACUGCGUGGCUGGAGUGCAGGAGGGGCAGGCGGAAUUCCUGGUGUAGCGGUGAAAUGCGUAGAUAUCAGGAGGAACACCGGUGGCGAAGGCGGCCUGCUGGACUGCAACUGACGUUGAGGCCCGAAAGCGUGGGGAGCAAACAGGAUUAGAUACCCGUGUAGUC
rnacentral:rRNA from 1 species